AUAUUUAGAGUAGGGCACUUCCUAAAAUAUUCUUUGAAUCUUUCCCAUGCUUCUGGAUAGCUCUCGAGACCCUUUUGCCUGAAAGUAUGGACUUCAUUUUGGAUAU
rnacentral:snoRNA from 1 species